rnacentral:rRNA from 1 species
CUGCCCUUUGUACACACCGCCCGUCGCUACUACCGAUUGAAUGGCUCAGUGAGGCGUCCGGACUGGCCCAGAGAGGUGGGCAACUACCACUCAGGGCCGGAAAGCUCUCCAAACUCGGUCAUUUAGAGGAAGUAAAAGUCGUAACAAGGUCUCCGUUGGUGAACCAGCGGAGGGAUCAUUACCGAGUUAUACAACUCAUCAACCCUGUGAACAUACCUAAAACGUUGCUUCGGCGGGAACAGACGGCCCUGUAACAACGGGCCGCCCCCGCCAGAGGACCCCUAACUCUGUUUUUAUAAUGUUUUUCUGAGUAAACAAGCAAAUAAAUUAAAACUUUCAACAACGGAUCUCUUGGCUCUGGCAUCGAUGAAGAACGCAGCGAAAUGCGAUAAGUAAUGUGAAUUGCAGAAUUCAGUGAAUCAUCGAAUCUUUGAACGCACAUUGCGCCCGCCAGUAUUCUGGCGGGCAUGCCUGUUCGAGCGUCAUUACAACCCUCAGGCCCCCGGGCCUGGCGUUGGGGAUCGGCGGAAGCCCCCUGUGGGCACACGCCGUCCCUCAAAUACAGUGGCGGUCCCGCCGCAGCUUCCAUUGCGUAGUAGCUAACACCUCGCAACUGGAGAGCGGCGCGGCCAUGCCGUAAAACACCCAACUUCUGAAUGUUGACCUCGGAUCAGGUAGGAAUACCCGCUGAACUUAAG